rnacentral:rRNA from 1 species
UACAGAGGCCCCGAGCGUUACUGAGAAUCACUGGGUUUAAAGGGUGCGUAGGUGGCGCGUUAAGUCCGUUGUGAAAGCCCUGGGCUCAACCCAGGAACUGCUUCGGAUACUGGCGCGCUUGAGGCUAGUAGGGGUUACUGGAACUGACGGUGGAGCGGUGAAAUGCGUAGAUAUCGGGAGGAACACCAGUGGCGAAGGCGGCUUCCUGGCCUGUUCUUGACGCUGAGGCGCGAAAGCUAGGGGAGCAAACGGG